rnacentral:rRNA from 1 species
CCUACGGGCGGCAGCAGUGAGGAAUAUUGGUCAAUGGCCGGAAGUCUGAACCAGCCAAGCCGCGUGCAGGACGACGGUGCCAAGCGUUGUAAACUUCUUUUGUCCAGGGACAAAAUCAGGCACGAGAGCCUGACCGAAGGUACUUCAAGAAAAAGCAUCGGCUAAUUCCGUGCCAGCAGCCGCGGUAAUACGGAAGAUGCGAGCGUUAUCCGGAUUUAUUGGGGUUAAAGGGUGCGUAGGCGGCCCGUUAAGUGAGCUGGGAAAUGCCGGGGCUCAACCCCGGCGGAGCGGUGGAAACUGGCUGGCUUGAGAUGUCCAGAGGUAGGCGGAAUGCGCAGUGUAGCGGUGAAAUGCUUAGAUAUUGCGAAGAACUCCGAUUGCGAAGGCAGCAUACCGGCGGCUUUCUGACGCUGAGGCACGAAGGUGUGGGUAUCGAACAGGAUUAGAUACCCCUGUAGUC